UAUAUAAUAUAAAAUCUACUCAUCAGUCCACAACACUGAGACCCAAACGAGCAGAUCUAAAACAGUUCGUCCAAAAAUCCUCCCUUUGCAGUUUCCUCACAGAUUGAUGCAUCCGUAGCCUUCCAUAACCCAACAACAACGCACCUCCGUGAGUACCCCGCCGUGAUGGAAAAUCGGAAAAACGGAAACCCAAAGUGGGAAGAGCCCUAAUGGUUGCAAAUCCGAGACAACAACACAAGAACACACCCGGAGUCAGCAGCUCAGCUCCACCAAGGAUCUGCAAAUGUUGAGCGUACAACCGAGAGACAACAACCGUGAGCUUCCGGUCUAGUGGUUCCUGAAGGCAGCAUAAAUGACAAAUGUCUCGGCCUCAGCAAAUAAGUAAGAACAAGCGGAUCCAUGACAGAUCCGAAAGAAAGAACGCUCAACUGGAUAUCCAUCAGACAAAAGGCAGGAUACAUCGCAACAGCCAUGACUGAGCAACCUUGAAGGCGGAUCACUGAUAGAUCCGAGGGAAAGAAAAGGGUGGACAAAGAUUAGCUUCAAUAGACAAACGGUACAAGCUGCCAAGAGCCCAGAUCGAUGAAUCUGGGAGGUAAAAUUUCGUAUCCUUGCAAGUGGAAUUGUUGUAGAUCUGGUAAUAAUAGUUGUACUCAGUUCUGUGGUGUAUGGAUCUGUGAUUUAAUUGUGCUUCCUCCAUGCAUCGCACAACUGAGCUGCAGAAAAUUAACUGCUCUAAAUUCUGUUUAUGUGCUGGAUCUGCAACAAUCACCCCCAAACUUGCAUAUGUGAAUGGCUUUUUAUGUUGACUGCUUUAAA